AGAGUUUGAUCAUGGCUCAGAGCGAACGCUGGCGGCAGGCCUAACACAUGCAAGUCGAACGCUCGUAGCAAUACGAGAGUGGCAGACGGGUGAGUAACGCGUGGGAACGUACCUUUCGGUUCGGAAUAACCCGGGGAAACUCGGGCUAAUACCGGAUACGUCCGCAAGGAGAAAGAUUUAUCGCCGAAAGAUCGGCCCGCGUUGGAUUAGCUAGUUGGUGAGGUAACGGCUCACCAAGGCGAUGAUCCAUAGCUGGUCUGAGAGGACGAUCAGCCACACUGGGACUGAGACACGGCCCAGACUCCUACGGGAGGCAGCAGUGGGGAAUAUUGGACAAUGGGCGCAAGCCUGAUCCAGCCUGNNGCGUGAGUGAUGAAGGCCUUAGGGUUGUAAAGCUCUUUUACCAGGGAAGAUAAUGACGGUACCUGGAGAAUAAGCCCCGGCUAACUUCGUGCCAGCAGCCGCGGUAAUACGAAGGGGGCUAGCGUUGCUCGGAAUCACUGGGCGUAAAGCGCACGUAGGUGGAUCACUAAGUCAGGGGUGNNNCCUGGAGCUCAACUCCAGAACUGCCUUUGAUACUGAUGAUCUUUGAGUCCGGGAGAGGUGGGUGGAACUGCGAGUGUAGAGGUGAAAUUCGUAGAUAUUCGCAAGAACACCAGUGGCGAAGCGGCUCACUGGCCCGGUACUGACACUGAGGUGCGAAAGCGUGGGGGCAAACAGGAUUAGAUACCCUAGUAGUCC
rnacentral:rRNA from 1 species